AACGAACGCUGGCGGCAUGCUUAACACAUGCAAGUCGAACGCUUGUUGGGGCUUCGGCUCCAACAGGAGUGGCGCACGGGUGAGUAGCGCGUGGGAACCUGCCCUCUUGUGGGGGAGUAACCGAGGGAAACCGUCGGCUAAUACCGCAUAAGCCGGCCGGUCUAGAGAUAGAUUGGCCGGGAAAGAUUUAUCGCGAGAGGAGGGGCCCGCGUCGGAUUAGCUUGUUGGUGGGGUAACGGCCGUACCAAGGCGAUGAUCCGUAGCUGGUCUGAGAGGAUGAUCAGCCACACUGGGACUGAGACACGG
rnacentral:rRNA from 1 species